GCAAUCAAGAAAUGUGCUCCAGUGACCACAGCGGCAAAAGGCAGCUGCAGGACAUGGUCACAGACAGACUUUCCUGGCUGAAAACCUUGCAUGUCCAGACUCCCCUAAAGUCUCGGUUCAUCAGCUCUCGCUGAACCAAGAGCUGUAAUCUCUGUACGCAACGUGGAGAGCAGAGGUGGGAAAGGAGAAAAUGGCUUACCCAUCCAGGGGAGCAGAGAAAGAAGUUCCAAAGGAAAUCCUGGUCUGAUGGUGUGCGCUCCACAUGCUCUUUCCAUGACCCAGGUUUGACAAGUUCUGCAGCCGCUUAAGCCAGAACUACAAUUUCAUACAGGAUGUUUUUCAUUCCUAGUAAGGUCAGUGAUUAAAUUAUAUGAGGAUAUUCCUGUCCAUCUCCAAGCAACUAUUGCAGGAACAAGUUCAUCUGAAGUAAAAGGAAGAUUUCGGGCCAAUCCUUUGUGCUUGAUUUAUAUGCUAGCGCAUAACAGUCUAUAUCCACUCUAUAU